rnacentral:rRNA from 1 species
AACGAACGCUGGCGGCAGGCCUAACACAUGCAAGUCGAACGCCCCGCAAGGGGAGUGGCAGACGGGUGAGUAACGCGUGGGAACCUACCCUAAGGUGCGGAAUAGCCCAGGGAAACUUGGAGUAAUACCGCAUAAGCCCGCAAGGGGAAAGAUUUAUCGCCUUUGGAUGGGCCCGCGUCUGAUUAGCUAGUCGGUGAGGUAAUGGCUCACCAAGGCGACGAUCAGUAGCUGGUCUUAGAGGAUGAUCAGCCACACUGGGACUGAGACACGGCCCAGACUCCUACGGGAGGCAGCAGUGGGGAAUAUUGCGCAGUGGGCGCAAGCCUGAUCCAGCCAUGCCGCGUGAGUGAUGAAGGCCUUAGGGUUGUAAAGCUCUUUCACCGGAGAAGAUAAUGACGGUAUCCGGAGAAGAAGCCCCGGCUAACUUCGUG